rnacentral:rRNA from 1 species
UACGUAGGGUGCGAGCGUUGUCCGGAAUUACUGGGCGUAAAGAGCUCGUAGGUGGUUUGUCGCGUUGUCCGUGAAAACUCACAACUCAAUUGUGGGCGUGCGGGCGAUACGGGCAGACUGGAGUACUGCAGGGGAGACUGGAAUUCCUGGUGUAGCGGUGGAAUGCGCAGAUAUCAGGAGGAACACCGGUGGCGAAGGCGCCACUCUGGGCCAAAACUGACGCUGAGGAGCGAAAGCGUGGGUAGCAAACAGG